UGGUAAUUGGGGGGGACCUGAUGCAGCCAUGCCGCGUGUGUGAGAAGGCCUUCGGGUUGUAAAGCACUUUCAGUUGUGAGGAAAAGUUAGUAGUUAAUACCUGCUAGCCGUGACGUUAACAACAGAAGAAGCACCGGCUAACUCCGUGCCAGCAGCCGCGGUAAUACGGAGGGUGCGAGCGUUAAUCGGAAUUACUGGGCGUAAAGCGCACGCAGGCGGUUUGUUAAGCUAGAUGUGAAAGCCCCGGGCUCAACCUGGGAUGGUCAUUUAGAACUGGCAGACUAGAGUCUUGGAGAGGGGAGUGGAAUUCCAGGUGUAGCGGUGAAAUGCGUAGAUAUCUGGAGGAACAUCAGUGGCGAAGGCGACUCCCUGGCCAAAGACUGACGCUCAUGUGCGAAAGUGUGGGUAGCGAACAGGAUUAGAUACCCUGGUAGUCCACACCGUAAACGCUGUCUACUAGCUGUGUGUGUCUUUAAGACGUGCGUAGCGAAGCUAACGCGCUAAGUAGACCGCCUGGGGAGUACGGCCGCAAGGUUAAAACUCAAAGAAAUUUGACGGGA
rnacentral:rRNA from 1 species